UGCCCCAGUAACGGCGAGUGAAGCGGCAACAGCUCAAAUUUGAAAUCUGGCCCGUUGCGGGUCCGAAUUGUAAUUUGGAGAAGGUGCCUCGGGUGCGACUGUGGCCCAAGUCCCAUGGAACUGGGCGUCACAGAGGGUGAGAAUCCCGUACGCGGCCAACGGUCCAGCCCGUGCGAGGCCCUUUCGACGAGUCGAGUUGUUUGGGAAUGCAGCUCUAAAUGGGUGGUAAACUUCAUCUAAAGCUAAAUAUCGGCUGGAGACCGAUAGCGCACAAGUAGAGUGAUCGAAAGAUGAAAAGAACUUUGAAAAGAGAGUUAAACAGUACGUGAAAUUGUUGAAAGGGAAGCGCUUGCAACCAGACUCGCGCGCGGGGUUCAGCCACCCUUCGGGGCGGUGUACUCCCCGUCCGCGGGCCAGCAUCAGUUCGGACGGUCGGACAAAGGCGCGGGGAACGUGGCUCUCUUCGGGGAGUGUUACAGCCCCGCGUGCAAUGCGGCCAGCCCGGACUGAGGAUCGCGCUCUGCUAGGAUGCUGGCGUAAUGGUUGCCAGCGACCCGUCUUGAAACACGGACCAGUAAGUGACAAUGGUUCGAGGCCCCCGGAGCAGAUUUGCUAACCCGCUGAACAGAGGAGUCGACCAAUUGGGCAAGUAUUUGGGCGCUAAAACCCAGAUGCGCAAUGAAAGUGAACGAGGUGGGAGCCUUCGGGUGCACCAUCGACCGAUCUUGAUGUCUUCGGAUGGAUUUGAGUACGAGCCUAAAUGGUCGGACCCGAAAGGCACGUUCCUGAAACUCCCCUUGGACGAAUCAAUCGCUAACUGCAGUUUUAGAUGGUGAGCUAUGCGUGAAUAGGGUGAAGCCAGAGGAAACUCUGGUGGAGGCUCGCAGCGGUUCUGACGUGCAAAUCGAUCGUCAAAUUUGCGCAUAGGGGCGAAAGGUACGUCUAAUUUUGUUUGCACGGCAAGAGUGUUCGCUAACUCGUUUGAAAGACCAAUCGAACCA
rnacentral:rRNA from 1 species